rnacentral:rRNA from 1 species
UACAGAGGGUGCGAGCGUUGUCCGGAAUCACUGGGCGUAAAGGGCGCGUAGGUGGUGACCUAAGCGUGCGGUGAAAGCCCGAGGCUCAACCUCGGGUCCGCCGUGCGAACUGGGUCACUGGAGCAGAAUAGAGGCAGGUGGAAUUCCGGGUGUAGCGGUGGAAUGCGUAGAGAUCCGGAAGAACACCGGUGGCGAAGGCGGCCUGCUGGGUUCUGGCUGACACUGAGGCGCGACAGCGUGGGGAGCAAACAGG